UGUCUGCCUGUGUGUGUGUGUGUAUGACUGUCUGCCUGUGUGUGACUGUCUGCCUGUGUGUGUGUGUGGUUGCCUGCCUGUGUGUGUGUGUGUGUGUGUGUCUGUGUAUAUUACUGUCUGCCUGUGUGUGUGUAUGUGUAUGUGACUGUUCGCCUGUGUGUGACUGUCUGCCUGUGUGUGUGUGGUUGCCUGCCUGUGUGUGUGUGGUGUGUGUUUGUGUGGCGUUCCCGUCUGUGUGUGUGUGUGUGACUGCCUGCCUCUGUGUGUGUGAUGCCCUCCCUGUGUGUGUGUGUGUGUGCAUGGCCAUCUGCCUCUGUGUGUGUGUGUGUGUGUGGCUGCCUGCUGUAUGUGUGUGUGCUAUCUGUGUGUGUGUGGCUGUCUGCCUGCAUGUAUGUGUGUGUCUGUCUGUGUGGCUGUCAGCCUGUAUGUGUGUGUGUUUGUGUGUGUCUGUCUGUCUGCAUGUGUCUGUGUGUGUGUAUGACUGUCUGUCUGUGUCUGUAUGGCUGUCUGCUUGUGUCUGUGUGUGUGUUGGUAUGACUGUCUGCUGUGUGUGUGUCUGUUUGCCUUUGUCUGUGUGUGUGUGUGUGUGUGUAUGACUGUCUGUGUGUGUGUGCCUGCCUGUAUGUGUGUGUACUGUCUGCUGUGUGUGUAUGUCUGUCUGCAUGUGUCUGUGUGUGUGUAUGACUGUCUGUCUGUGUCUGUAUGGCUGUCUGCUUGUGUCUGUGUGUGUGUUGGUAUGACUGUCUGCUGUGUGUGUGUCUGUUUGCCUUUGUCUGUGUGUGUGUGUGUGUGUGUAUGACUGUCUGUGUGUGUGCAUAUAUAACUGCCUGCCUGUAUGUGUGUGUAUGACUGUCUUGCUGUGUGUGUAUGACUGUCUGCCUGUGUCUGUGUGUGUGUGUGUAUGACUGUCUGCUGUGUGUGUAUAUCACUGUCUGCCUGUGUGUGUGUGUAUGACUGUCUGUGUAUGUAUGUGUGUGUGACUGUGGUGUGUGUGACUGCCUGCCUGUGUGUGUGUGCGUGACUGUCUGCCUGUGUGUGUAUGUGUGUGUGUGCAUGACUGUCUGCCUGUGUGUGUGUGUGUGUGUGUGUGUGUGAGACUGCCUGCCUCUGUGUGUGUGUGUGUGACUGCCUGCCUGUGUGUAUGACUGUCUGCCUGUGUGUGUGUGUCACUGUCUUUCUUUGUGUGUGUGUGUCUGUGUGUAUGACUGUCUGCCUGUGUGUGUAUGUGACUGUUAUGGACAGAUGAAUUAAAAUAAAAUGGCUAUUUACUAAUGUCUAUUUAUUCUGUGUUCACUAUGUUAAAACUGGCUGCUAGAGUAAAUAUUCCCUCCCCCCCCUACAAUGUGUUCAGGCACUAUUUUCUCUCUGUAAAUUCUUCGCAUCCUGCUAGCAUCCCCCUUCCCAUCAGAGCAGGCCUUGUGUAACCAAAAAAAUCCUGUGUUCACAGCUUCCUUUACUAACUCCUCCCCCACUUCCUUUGUGCCAGUUAACAGCUAUAUGCCACGUGUAACAAAAUGGAGAAUCACUGUUAAAGUAACUGAAAGAGACUACUCACUCCCCCUGUCAUCGUGUAUCCAGGAGCUGGAAUAUAGGCGGGAGAAGUCUGUAAUGACGACACUACAUCCUGUAGGGGGG
rnacentral:lncRNA from 1 species